rnacentral:lncRNA from 1 species
UAUGCAUGGUAUUGGUAUUGUGUUCAUCCCAACCUGAGUCAUCGAUCGAUCACUCGAAGUUGAAAUGAGUUCUCAUUAACUUAAUGUUUAGAUUAAUAGUACCUAAAUUGAUUUAGGUGGAACUACGGAUGAAAGAAUGAGCUUACAGGGUCAACAACAACUUCAAUUGAGUUAUUGUAUUUGCAUGGUGUUGAUAUUGUAUUUAUCUCGGCCUGAGUCAUCAAUCGAUCACUCAAAGUUGAAAUGAGUUCUUAUUAACUUAAUAUUAAGAUUAAUAGUACCUAAAUUGAUUUAGAUGGAACUAGGGAUGAAUGGAUGAGCUCACAGGG